AGAGUUUGAUCAUGGCUCAGAACGAACGCUGGCGGCAGGCCUAACACAUGCAAGUCGAGCGGGAAGCAUCCUUCGGGGUGUGGAGAGCGGCAGACGGGUGAGUAACGCGUGGGAAUCUACCUAAUGGUACGGAAUAGCUCCGGGAAACUGGAAUUAAUACCGUAUAAGCCCUCCGGGGGAAAGAUUUAUCGCCAUUGGAUGAGCCCGCGUCGGAUUAGCUAGUUGGUGGGGUAAAGGCCUACCAAGGCUACGAUCCGUAGCUGGUCUGAGAGGAUGAUCAGCCACAUUGGGACUGAGACACGGCCCAAACUCCUACGGGAGGCAGCAGUGGGGAAUAUUGGACAAUGGGCGCAAGCCUGAUCCAGCCAUGCCGCGUGAGUGAUGAAGGCCCUAGGGUUGUAAAGCUCUUUCGCACGCGACGAUAAUGACGGUAGCGUGAGAAGAAGCCCCGGCUAACUUCGUGCCAGCAGCCGCGGUAAUACGAAGGGGGCUAGCGUUGUUCGGAAUCACUGGGCGUAAAGCGCACGUAGGCGGAUCGUUAAGUCAGGGGUGAAAUCCCGAGGCUCAACCUCGGAACUGCCUUUGAUACUGGCAAUCUUGAGUCCGGGAGAGGUGAGUGGAACUGCGAGUGUAGAGGUGAAAUUCGUAGAUAUUCGCAAGAACACCAGUGGCGAAGGCGGCUCACUGGCCCGGUACUGACGCUGAGGUGCGAAAGCGUGGGGAGCAAACAGGAUUAGAUACCCUAGUAGUCC
rnacentral:rRNA from 1 species